UACGGAGGGUGCGAGCGUUGUCCGGAAUUAUUGGGCGUAAAGAGCUCGUAGGCGGUUUGUCACGUCUGCUGUGAAAUCCCGAGGCUCAACCUCGGGUCUGCAGUGGGUACGGGCAGACUGGAGUGCGGUAGGGGAGAAUGGAAUUCCUGGUGUAGCGGUGGAAUGCGCAGAUAUCAGGAGGAACACCGAUGGCGAAGGCAGUUCUCUGGGCCGUAACUGACGCUGAGGCGCGAAAGCGUGGGGAGCAAACAGG
rnacentral:rRNA from 1 species